rnacentral:rRNA from 1 species
ACGCUCGACACCUACGGGGGCAGCAGUGGGGAAUAUUGCACAAUGGGGGAAACCCUGAUGCAGCGACGCCGCGUGAGCGAAGAAGUAUUUCGGUAUGUAAAGCUCUAUCAGCAGGGAAGAAACUGACGGUACCUGACUAAGAAGCACCGGCUAAAUACGUGCCAGCAGCCGUGGUAAUCUGAGCGGGCUGGCAAGGC